AACGAACGCUGGCGGCAUGCCUAACACAUGCAAGUCGAACGAGACCUUCGGGUCUAGUGGCGCCCGGGUGCGUAACGCGUGGGAACCUGCCCUUAGGUUCGGAAUAACUCCCCGAAAGGGGUGCUAAUACCGGAUAAUGUCUUCGGACCAAAGAUUUAUCGCCUUUGGAUGGGCCCGCGUUGGAUUAGCUAGUUGGUAGGGUAAAAGCCUACCAAGGCGACGAUCCAUAGCUGGUCUGAGAGGAUGAUCAGCCACACUGGGACUGAGACACGGCCCAGACUCCUACGGGAGGCAGGAGUGGGGAAUAUUGGACCAUGGGCGAAAGCCUGAUCCAGCAAGGCCGCGUGAGUGCUGAAGGCCUUAGGGUUGUAAAGCUCUUUUACCCGGGAUGAUAAUGACAGUACCGGGAGAAUAAGCUCCGGCUAACUCCGUG
rnacentral:rRNA from 1 species